AUCAUUGCUAUGUACUAACUGUCUAAGGCAUUGCUCAAAACCAUUCCACCUCCAACCAACAUUGCUAAAACUAUGACAGCAUACUCUGAUUACAGAUGGGUGAAAAAAUGACUGGCAAACCCUCUAUGAAAUGCUCCAGUGAAGUCCAUUAUGACACCCACUUUGCAUUAAAAAAGUAGCUCUCUCUAAAUAGCACUUGCUUCUCGGGGUGGAUUGCAAUCCAAACUAUGAAUCCAGAACCAAACCAAAUAUUGUAUUAUCCAAUGUCAGGACAGGCGUUAAAAUCAAACCAACCAACAAAUGGCCUACUGCACUCGAUCAACCCAUUUCUGCUGGUAGUAAAAAAGAAAGAAUAAUUUCUGCAGUUAUGUAAAACCAAAUAUUAUUCUCAUCUCUUUUACUGAAGUUCAGCUUUCCCAUUAUGAAUCAUCGUAAAUCUUCG
rnacentral:misc_RNA from 1 species